rnacentral:misc_RNA from 1 species
AAAAAUAUAGAAUUAAUCUUCUGUAAACCCAAUCUGCGUAUUUCUACCUGUUGCUUUCGUGAGACUGUGAACGCAAGUUCCCUCUGGCGCUGUUUUUAGGAACAGCUGUUGGGGAGUGCUCACGGGAGGUAAUUAUAAACUCUGUUUUUUUUGAAUUUUGUCUGAAUAUUGUUUAUACAUAAACUUUA